AAAUGAAACCUUGCCCGGAGUUCCGAACGCGUUUCUAUUUCUCCUCCCCCCCCCUCCCAAAGAGAUGUUGUGAGAACCCGCAGGGCCGCAGCCCACACUUCCGGUUCUGAUUUUAGUUCUGGAAAGUCCUCCAUGAGCGGGGCAAGCGUGGAGGAAAUAAGGAAUCCGUACAAAAUCUUAAAUAAAGACAGGUUUCUUACACAAAGCUAUGCAGCCUGAUUCUGUGCAUGCUUAGGAAGUACCCCUGCAUUCGGCAGAGCUUGCUCUAAAGAAAGAACACACACAGGAUUGAUUGCAGCCUCCGAGGAAUCCCUUCCCUGCCAGUAAAAAGGAGGAAAUGUUUUUGAAGAAAUGGUCCACAUCUGAAGCUCCUUUUCCACUUAUGAUUAAAUACUAUAUUAAUAAAUGCCGAGUGCCACCUCCAGGUUGCAGGAGUCUCCUAUUCUAGGACUGUGGCUGGCAAUGGCUGAAGGAGAAACCCAGAAACUGCUCCCCAGGUUAAUUCAAGAAGGGAAAUUCCCACUCCUGAAAGAGGCGAUAGCACAUGUCGGCGACCUGGACAGGGACGUGCGGCAGAAGCAGUUUGGGAGGUCGGGGGACACGCUGCUCCACUACGCGGCCCGCCAUGGCCGCCUCGGCAUCCUGGGCUACUUGGUUGAGACAUUGGCCAUGGACCUGGAACUGCCGAACAAUGACUACAAGCGGCCCCUGCACGAAGCAGCCUCCAUGGGUCAUGGGGACUGUGUCUUGUACCUGCUGGAGAGAGGCGCGGCUGUCGACUGCUUGAAGAAGGCUGACUGGACCCCGCUAAUGAUGGCUUGUACCAGGAGGAACCUGAAGCUUAUUCAAGACCUUGUCCAGCGUGGAGCAAACCCAUUGCUGAAGAACAAAGAUGGCUGGAAUUGCUUCCAUAUAGCCAGCAGAGAGGGGGAUCCCCGGGUGAUCCAGUACUUGCUUGACGUCUCGCCCAACAUCUGGAACACGGAAAGCAAAAUCAAAAGAACGCCACUGCAUACCGCAGCAAUGCACGGGGGCCUGGAGGUGGUGAGAGUGCUCCUUGAACGGUGCCCCUAUGAACCUGACAGUAAGGACAAAUGUGGAGUCACUGCCUUUAUGGAUGCAAUACAGAACGGGCAUCUUGAUAUCGCCCAGCUGCUUCUAGAAAAACAUAAGGCUUGCUACACCAUGGAGGAUGCACUCGGAGCUCAGCCACUGCACCGGGCCGCAGUCACGGCACAGGACAACGCCCUCCGGUUCCUCGUUGUGGACCUUGGUGUCGAUGUCAACGCGAGAGCCACCUCACUCCAGAUCACGGCAUUACAUUACGCUGCAAAGAUAUCCUUCAACGAACUCGGGGUUCUCCUUCCACCUCGUUUUGUCCUCACAACAACCCUGCGAGAAGAAGUAGUUGCUGCAGAACUUUCUUUAGAUGUGACAGUAAUACAGAAGAGUAGUCUUGGAAGGUUGUUUGGAAGGACACACAGACACUAUCAAGACCCUUCUGUCCCUUGGUGUUGAUCUGAAUGCUAAGGAUGGGAAAAACCGAACAGGAGCCCAGAGCGGUGAGAUAUGUGACUGGCUCAGAGUCAUCCAGUGAGUGUCAUGGCUGAAUGGGGAUUUGAACUCAGGUCUCCCCGGGCCUAGCUCAGCACUCUAACCACUGCACCACACUGGCUUGUUGAGGGAGACUGAAAGCUGGAGAUAAUCAAAGGCUAGAGGAGGCAAUAAACAACAUAGGAAGCUGCCUUCCUAGGAACAUAGGAUGAACAUAAAGGACAUAGGAAGAAAAGAAGAGCAUAGGAAGCUGCCUUCUACCGAGUCAGACCACUGGUCCAUCUAGCUCAGUAUUGUCUAUCCAGACUGGCAGCGGCUUCUCCAAGGUUGCCGGCAGGAGUCUCUCUCAGCCCUUUUUGGAGAUGCUGCCAGGGAGGGAACUUGGAACCUUCUGCAUGCAAGCAGGCAGGUGCUCUUCCCAGAGUGGCCCCAUCCCCUCUUACAGUGCUCACAUGUAGUCUCCCAUUUGAAUGCAAACCAGGGUGGACCCUGCUUAGCAAAGGGGACAAUUGCUACCACAAGACCAGCUCUCCUCCCACCACCACCGCCACAAGACUCGCCUCCUCCUGAUUCUGUGUUGACUGAAAGCCUGACAGACCAGCCCUGGUUUCUUGCUGCCCUGCACAUGGCAUGUGCCGGUCAGCAUGCAGCAUGCACACAAGUUCUUCUGGAGGCAGGAUUGCAGGACUCUCCAGACAGUACCGGGACACGUGCACAGCAGCUUGCAAAGAAGUCAAACCUUCUCCAGCUUUUCAAGGAAAUCAAUAUUAGUGCAUGAAACUGGCACACAAGACAAUAAAACUGCUUCUUUCCAGACUU